rnacentral:misc_RNA from 1 species
CCAAUAGCGUAUAUUAAAGUUGUUGUGGUUAAAAAGCUCGUAGUUGAACCUUGGGCCUGGCUGGCCGGUCCGCCUCACCGCGUGUACUGGUCCGGCCGGGCCUUUCCCUCUGUGGAACCUCAUGCCCUUCACUGGGUGUGACGGGGAAGCAGGACUUUUACUGUGAAAAAAUUAGAGUGCCCCAAGCAGGCCUAUGCUCGAAUACAUUAGCAUGGAAUAAUAAAAUAGGACGUGCGGUUCUAUUUUGUUGGUUUCUAGGACCGCCGUAAUGAUUAAUAGGGACAGUCGGGGGCAUCAGUAUUCAAUUGUCAGAGGUGAAAUUCUUGGAUUUAUUGAAGACUAACUACUGCGAAAGCAUUUGCCAAGGAUGUUUUCAUUAAUCAGGAACGAAAGUUAGGGGAUCGAAGACGAUCAGAUACCGUCGUAGUCUUAACCAUAAACGAUGCCAACCAGCGAUUAGCCUGAGUUCCUUAAAUGACUCGGCUAGCAGCUUCCG